AUGUUUCCGUUCAAGUUUAAGAGAAAGCAAUUUCCAAUAAGGCAUAGCUUUGCUAUGACCAUUAACAAGGCUAAAGGGCAGACCAUCCCGAUUGUUGGUGUCUAUCUACCCAAUCCCGUGUUCUCUCAUGGUCAGCUAUAUGUUGCUUUGUCUUGAGCCACCGCGAAGAGAAACAUAAAGAUACUCACUCAGAAGGAGAAGCCGAAGGAGAAGGCCAACAAGCUAAAGGACAAUCCAAAGAAGCGAAAAAGACCGACUAUGUCCUUACUGACCUCGAUGGAGAACAUCGUCUACAAGGAAGUCCUUACAGGCUGA
rnacentral:rRNA from 1 species